rnacentral:rRNA from 1 species
UACGUAGGGGCCAAGCGUUGUCCGGAUUUAUUGGGCGUAAAGAGCUCGUAGGCGGUUCGGCAAGUCAGCUGUGAAAUCUCCACGCUCAACGUGGAGGGGUCAGCUGAUACUGCUGUGACUCGAGUCCGGUAGGGGAGUGUGGAAUUCCCGGUGUAGCGGUGAAAUGCGCAGAUAUCGGGAGGAACACCUAUUGCGAAGGCAGCUCGCUGGGACGUAACUGACGCUGAGACGCGAAAGCGUGGGGAGCAAACAGG